rnacentral:rRNA from 1 species
ACUCCUACGGGAGGCAGCAGUUAGGAAUAUUCGGCAAUGGGGGAAACCCUGACCGAGCGACACUGCGUGAAGGAGGAAGGCCUUAGGGUUGUAAACUUCUGAACGAGAGACGAUAAUGACGGUAUCUCGGUAAUAGCACCGGCUAACUCCGUGCCAGCAGCCGCGGUAAUACGUAGGGGCAAGCGUUAUCCGGAUUUACUGGGUGUAAAGGGAGCGUAGGUGGUAUGAUAAGUCAGAUGUGAAAGCCCAGGGCUUAACCCUGGGACUGCAUUUGAAACUGUCAAACUAGAGUGCAGGAGAGGUAAGUGGAAUUCCUAGUGUAGCGGUGAAAUGCGUAGAGAUCGGAAGGAACACCAGUGGCGAAGGCGGCUACCUGGACUAAUACUGACACUGAGGCACGAAAGCGUGGGUAGCAAACAGGAUUAGAUACCCUGGUAGGUC